rnacentral:tRNA from 1 species
GGUAGUAGCUCAGUGGUAGAGCGCUUGCCUUGCAUGCAUGGGGCACUGGGUUCCAUCCUUAGCACCA